UACGAAGGGGGCUAGCGUUGCUCGGAAUCACUGGGCGUAAAGCGCACGUAGGCGGCUUUUUAAGUCAGAGGUGAAAUCCUGGAGCUCAACUCCAGAACUGCCUUUGAUACUGGAGAGCUUGAGUCCGGGAGAGGUGAGUGGAACUGCGAGUGUAGAGGUGAAAUUCGUAGAUAUUCGCAAGAACACCAGUGGCGAAGGCGGCUCACUGGCCCGGUACUGACGCUGAGGCACGAAAGCGUGGGGAGCAAACAGGG
rnacentral:rRNA from 1 species